rfam:Streptomyces lincolnensis strain NRRL 2936, complete genome.
UCGGCUCCGGUUCACGCCUCCGCAUCCCGCGGUUGCGACCCGGCGCC